UUGCUUCGGCGGGAACAGACGGCCCUGUAACAACGGGCCGCCCCCGCCAGAGGACCCCUAACUCUGUUUUUAUAAUGUUUUUCUGAGUAAACAAGCAAAUAAAUUAAAACUUUCAACAACGGAUCUCUUGGUUCUGGCAUCGAUGAAGAACGCAGCGAAAUGCGAUAAGUAAUGUGAAUUGCAGAAUUCAGUGAAUCAUCGAAUCUUUGAACGCACAUUGCGCCCGCCAGUAUUCUGGCGGGCAUGCCUGUUCGAGCGUCAUUACAACCCUCAGGCCCCCGGGCCUGGCGUUGGGGAUCGGCGGAAGCCCCCUGUGGGCACACGCCGUCCCUCAAAUACAGUGGCGGUCCCGCCGCAGCUUCCAUUGCGUAGUAGCUAACACCUCGCAACUGGAGAGCGGCGCGGCCAUGCCGUAAAACACCCAACUUCUGAAUGUUGACCUCGAAUCAGGUAGGAAUACCCGCUGAACUUAAGCAUAUCAAUAAGCGGAGG
rnacentral:rRNA from 1 species